rnacentral:rRNA from 1 species
UACGUAGGGACCGAGCGUUGUCCGGAUUCAUUGGGCGUAAAGAGCUCGUAGGCGGCUGUUCAAGUCGAACGUGAAAACUCGGAGCUCAACUCCGAGCCUGCGUUCGAUACUGGACGGCUAGAGUCUGGUAGGGGGAUCUGGAAUUCCUGGUGUAGCGGUGGAAUGCGCAGAUAUCAGGAGGAACACCGGUGGAGAAGGCGGGAUCGUGGGCCAGGACGGACGCUGAGGAGCGAAAGCGGGGGGAGCAAACAGG